rnacentral:rRNA from 1 species
UACGUAGGGUGCAAGCGUUGUCCGGAAUUAUUGGGCGUAAAGAGCUCGUAGGCGGUUUGUCGCGUCUGCUGUGAAAUCCCGAGGCUCAACCUCGGGCUGGCAGUGGGUACGGGCGAGACUAGAGUGCGGUAGGGGAGAUUGGAAUUCCUGGUGUAGCGGUGGAAUGCGCAGAUAUCAGGAGGAACACCGAUGGCGAAGGCAGAUCUCUGGGCCGUAACUGACGCUGAGGAGCGAAAGCGUGGGGAGCGAACAGG